AGGCACCGGAUUAUACUGCGGCGGUGGUGCCGGGUGGUACUGUGGAGGAACAGGCUCUUGCCGGGGUGGCUCGGGAUUCGCCCGCUCUAGCGGUGGCCCAAACUGUGGUAGUGGGGGAGGGUCGGGUAAUUCCCUUCCCUCCUCUCAACCUUGUUGAGCAGCCAUGAUCCUUUCAAGCAUCUCAAAUAUUCUGUCAACAUCCUCCCGAAGCGAAUCAUCCCGGGCUGCUCGGUUUAGUGGGGGUCUCCCUCUCCUCAUCUCUCUGCACCUGCAUUUCACAAGGAAGGGAUGAGUAAUAAUUUUCAGUUUGCUAUUCCUCUAAGUAUUAUUGUGUAAGGGACGGGUCCGAGGAACCUGGCUCUGAUACCAACUGUAA
rnacentral:lncRNA from 1 species